rnacentral:rRNA from 1 species
GACGAACGCUGGCGGCGUGCUUAACACAUGCAAGUCGAACGGAAAGGCCCUGCUUUUGUGGGGUGCUCGAGUGGCGAACGGGUGAGUAACACGUGAGUAACCUGCCCUUGACUUUGGGAUAACUUCAGGAAACUGGGGCUAAUACCGGAUAGGAGCUCCUGCUGCAUAGUGUUGGUUGGAAAGUUUCGGCGGUUGGGGAUGGACUCGCGGCUUAUCAGCUUGUUGGUGGGGUAGUGGCUUACCAAGGCUUUGACGGGUAGCCGGCCUGAGAGGGUGACCGGCCACAUUGGGACUGAGAUAGGGCCCAGACUCAUACGGGAGGCAGCAGUGGGGAAUAUUGCACAAUGGGCGGAAGCCUGAUGCAGCAACGCCGCGUGCGGGAUGACGGCCUUCGGGUUGUAAACCGCUUUCGCCUGUGACGAAGAGUGAGUGACGGUAAUGGGUAAAGAAGCACCGGCUAACUACGUG